rnacentral:rRNA from 1 species
CCUACGGGGGGCUGCAGUGGGGAAUAUUGGACAAUGGGGGGAACCCUGAUCCAGCCAUGCCGCGUGUGUGAAGAAGGCCCUCGGGUUGUAAAGCACUUUCAGUGAGGAAGAACGCCUGGUGGUUAAUACCCAUCAGGAAAGACAUCACUCACAGAAGAAGCACCGGCUAACUCCGUGCCGGCAGCCGCGGUAAUACGGAGGGUGCGAGCGUUAAUCGGAAUUACUGGGCGUAAAGCGCGCGUAGGUGGCUUGAUAAGCCGGUUGUGAAAGCCCCGGGCUCAACCUGGGAACGGCAUCCGGAACUGUCAAGCUAGAGUGCAGGAGAGGAAGGUAGAAUUCCCGGUGUAGCGGUGAAAUGCGUAGAGAUCGGGAGGAAUACCAGUGGCGAAGGCGGCCUUCUGGACUGACACUGACACUGAGGUGCGAAAGCGUGGGUAGCAAACAGGAUUAGAUACCCUUGUAGUC